GUCCACGCCGUAAAACGAUGAAUACUAGGUGUGGGGGUCUUUGAGACUUUAGUGGCGCAGCUAACGCGAUAAGUAGACCGCCUGGGGGAGUACGGUCGCAAGACUAAAAACUCAAAUGAAUUGACGGGGGGCCCGCACAAGCGGUGGAGCAUGUGGUUUAAUUCGAUGCAACGCGAAGAACCUUACCUGGUCUUGACAUAGUAAGAACUUUCCAGAGAUGGAUUGGUGCCUUCGGGAGCUUACAUACAGGUGCUGCAUGGCUGUCGU
rnacentral:rRNA from 1 species